UUUUCCAAGUUUAAAUACCCUGAAGACACCAGAUCCAAUCUGAUCUUGGAUGUCAAGCAGGGUAGGCCUGGUUAGUACUUGGGUGGCAGAGCAGCAAUGAAUAUCAUGUGCUGUAAGCU
rnacentral:rRNA from 1 species